rnacentral:rRNA from 1 species
GAUGAACGCUGGCGGCGUGCCUAAUACAUGCAAGUCGAGCGAACAGAUAAGGAGCUUGCUCCUUUGACGUUAGCGGCGGACGGGUGAGUAACACGUGGGUAACCUACCUAUAAGACUGGGAUAACUUCGGGAAACCGGAGCUAAUACCGGAUAACAUUUGGAACCGCAUGGUUCUAAAGUGAAAGAAGGUUUUGCUAUCACUUAUAGAUGGACCCGCGCCGUAUUAGCUAGUUGGUAAGGUAACGGCUUACCAAGGCAACGAUACGUAGCCGACCUGAGAGGGUGAUCGGCCACACUGGAACUGAGACACGGUCCAGACUCCUACGGGAGGCAGCAGUAGGGAAUCUUCCGCAAUGGGCGAAAGCCUGACGGAGCAACGCCGCGUGAGUGAUGAAGGGUUUCGGCUCGUAAAACUCUGUUAUUAGGGAAGAACAAAUGUGUAAGUAACUGUGCACGUCUUGACGGUACCUAAUCAGAAAGCCACGGCUAACUACGUG